rnacentral:rRNA from 1 species
AUUGAACGCUGGCGGCAGGCCUAACACAUGCAAGUCGAACGAGUGGGGGGCGGGGGAGUAAUAUCUGGGAGACAGCCCGAGGGAGGGGGAUAACAACAGGAGACGGUGGCUAAUACCGCAUACCAUAGGAUAUGUGAAGAUGGGAUUAGCUGGUAGGUGAGGGAACGGCUCACCUCGACGAAGCUCCCUAGCUGGUCUGAGAGGAUGACCAGCACCACUGGAACUGAGACACGGUCCGGAUUCCGACGGGAGGCAGCAGUGGGGAAUAUUGCACAAUGGGCGCAAGCCUGAUGCAGCCAUGCCGCGUGUAUGAAGAAGGCCUUCGGGUUGUAAAGUACUUUCAGCGGGGAGGCGUUACCCGCAGAAGAAGCACCGGCUAACUCCGUGCCAGCAGCCGCGGUAAUUC